rnacentral:rRNA from 1 species
UACAGAGGGGGCAAGCGUUGUUCGGAAUUACUGGGCGUAAAGGGCGCGUAGGCGGCCUGUUAAGUCGGACGUGAAAUCCCUCGGCUUAACCGGGGAACUGCGUCUGAUACUGGAUGGCUUGAGUUUGGGAGAGGGAUGCGGAAUUCCAGGUGUAGCGGUGAAAUGCGUAGAUAUCUGGAGGAACACCGGUGGCGAAGGCGGCAUCCUGGACCAACACUGACGCUGAGGAGCGAAAGCCAGGGGAGCAAACGGG